CCCUUAGAUGUUCUGGGCCGCACGCGCGCUACACUGACGAAGUCAGUGAGCAUGUCCUACGCCGACAGGUGCGGGGAAUCUUGUCAAACUUCGUCGUGAUGGGGAUUGAUUUUUGAAAUUCUUGAUCAUAAACGAGGAAUUCCUAGUAAGCGCAAGUCAGCAGCUUGCGUUGAUUACGUCCCUGCCCUUUGUACACACCGCCCGUCGCUACUACCGAUUGAAUGGUUUAGUGAGAUCUUCGGAUUGGCGCCACUGCAGCUCAGCAAUGGGCUUGGUGGAUGCCGAAAAGUUGAUCAAACUUGAUCAUUUAGAGGAAGUAAAAGUCGUAACA
rnacentral:rRNA from 1 species